rnacentral:rRNA from 1 species
CCUCUUGAGAGCGGCGGACGGGUGAGUAAUGCCUAGGAAUCUGCCUGGUAGUGGGGGAUAACGUUCGGAAACGAACGCUAAUACCGCAUACGUCCUAUGGGAGAAAGCAGGGGACCUUCGGGCCUUGCGCUAUCAGAUGAGCCUAGGUCGGAUUAGCUAGUUGGUGAGGUAAUGGCUCACCAAGGCGACGAUCCGUAACUGGUCUGAGAGGAUGAUCAGUCACACUGGAACUGAGACACGGUCCAGACUCCUACGGGAGGCAGCAGUGGGGAAUAUUGGACAAUGGGCGAAAGCCUGAUCCAGCCAUGCCGCGUGUGUGAAGAAGGUCUUCGGAUUGUAAAGCACUUUAAGUUGGGAGGAAGGGCAGUAAAUUAAUACUUUGCUGUUUUGACGUUACCGACAGAAUAAGCACCGGCUAACUCUGUGCCAGCAGCCGCGGUAAUACAGAGGGUGCAAGCGUUAAUCGGAAUUACUGGGCGUAAAGCGCGCGUAGGUGGUUUGUUAAGUUGGAUGUGAAAUCCCCCGGGCUCAACCUGGGAACUGCAUUCAAAACUGACUGACUAGAGUAUGGUAGA